GAAGCAAAAUUGACCUCACAGAAACAAAUCAAACCAACCACCACCACAAAAGCAGUCGCCAGAAGAACCUGGUUUCUGUGUUAUCACCGCAAUACUAGUAUCAUCCUUGCUACACUUUUACAUUUGGGUACCAAGAUGCAAUGGGCAGAAGUGUUUGGAGCUCUCCCCUGGAACUGGUAACUGGUACACAGCGUUCUGCUUCACAAUGAUGUCUUUAACCAACAGCCAGUGAAGACCUGAGGUUUGCCAACAACCACAUGAGUGGCCAAGGAAGCUGAUCUUUCCUCAGCUGAGCAUUGAGAUGACGGCAGCCCUGGCUGACACUUGAUUACAUCCCAUGAGAGAUCCUGAGCCAGAGACUCCCAGCAAGGCUGUGUUCAGACUGCUGCCCCACGAAAACAGGGAAAUAGUGAAUACUUGCUGUUUUUAGUUGCAAAGAUCUGGGUUUUGGGAUUCGGACUGGCUCUCCUUGCUCCUCAGCUUGCAGACGGCCUAUUAUGGGAC